rnacentral:lncRNA from 1 species
AUAUGUCAGCUAUGCUGAAUGCCUUUGUAAUUUAUCUUUGCACAAUUGACUCAUCGUUUCCUUACCAACCGUAAUUUUUAGUCACAGAAGCUGCAGUGAAUUCGCUCAGGGCCCUUAAGCAUGGUUUGUUCCUAUGGCAAAGAGCCUAACAAAAGAUUGAUAGUAUGGACACGUUCCUGGCAGUAGGCAUGAACAUUAAGUAUGCGUUUGGAGAAGUAUUAGGGAAUAUGAUAAAAAUCAGUGGUUGUAGUAAGGAGAAACUCCCUCAUUUUCUAAUUGUACUAGAGAAUUGCUUUAGUCAGUUCAGAAAUAGCAGCAUCUAUAUGCUUUGUCUUGGUCCUGAGGCAUGGUUGCUGGAAGUUGGCAACAAUGGGCCACCAAAGGAUUUUUACACUCCUUGAAGUCAUAUAACUAGAGAGAUUUGCAUGAAGAAUUUGUAAUUGAAAAGCAUGCGUGCCUACUUUUAGUAGCCUGGAAGUUGAUAGUAAUGUCAUUAACCAUAGGAUAUAAGAUAUUUUAACUGAGAAUAAUAGCUUAAUAUCUAAAAAGAACUUUUGCAUCACUAAAGAAGAAAAAUGUCUUGCUGGGAACAAGUUUAGGAAAUGAAUGUACUUUUUUUUUAUCUUCUUGGGAGAAAAGUAUCCUCUCCAAAAAAAAGAUUAGCCCAGCUCAGAAAAUGCAUUGUUUUGUUUAAAAACCAGCUUGACAUUGUGUUCUAAGUCAGAAGUAGUUACUAAGCCAUAAGUUUUAUGAUAGAUGUAACCUCAUUUAUUGAGAGUGCUAAUCCAGUGAUUUUAAAAACGUGACAGUAAGGGUAAUUAUAACCAAACUAAUUAUUAUAAUGUAAAUAUAUAUUAUAUUUAAUUGUGGUUAUAGAAAUGCAUUUUGAAACUUGAAGGAGGAGUUCAUGUUGUGGCUCAGUGGAAACGAGUCUGACUAGAACCAUGAGGUUGCGGGUUCGAUCCCUGCCCUUGCUCAGUGGGUUAAGGAUCUGGCAUUGCCGUAAGCUGUGGUGUAGGUUGCAGCCGCUGCUCGGAUCCCGCAUUGCUGUGGCUGUGGCAUAGGCCGGCGGCUCCAGCUCCAAUUCGACCUCUAGCCUGGGAACCUCCAUAUGCCAUGGAAAGCAGCCCUAGAAAAGGUACAGUGACAAAAAAAAAAAAAAAA